AGCUUUGCACAGUGGCAGUAUUGUAGCCAAUGAGGUUUAUCUGAGGUGUGAUUAUUGCUCAUUGAAAACUUUUCCCAAUACCCCGCCAUGAUGACUUGAAAUAUAGUUGGCAUUGGCAAUUUUUGACAGUCUCUACGGAGA
rnacentral:snRNA from 1 species